AUGCGGGAGGACGAGCUGCUGUGCAACGCAUGGUUGGCCACAAGCCUUGAUCCUGUCCAAGGGACAUAGCAAAAGGACACAACCUUUUGAAAGAACAUUCACAUAUGAUUCCAUGAGCACAAACAUUUUGCGCCCUACUCCGACGCGUUGAUCCGCAACCGUGAGUGGAAGUCCCUCAACCAUCAAUGGUAAACCAUCCAAGAGGCCGUCUCCAAGUAUUGCGGGCACUUGAAGCAACUCAUCGCAUGGUGGUCUAGCGGUGCACAAACCACCGAGCAAGUAAGUUGA
rnacentral:rRNA from 1 species